CAGCUGUCAAUCAUCGAGCACGAGCAGGUCUCAGCGUGCACAACAGUGUCACGCGCCUCACUUGGCUUACUGCAGAAACAUGGAGCAACAAAACCCCAAAUUACCGAUUCCUCGACUGCCUUCCACAACUCAAAAUACAUUUAAAAAGUUUAAAAGCCCUUCAUCAAAAGUGGCUGUAAGACGUUGAAGACAGUCGAGUAGAAUUUACAUUGGAGAUUGUUUUAAACGAUGGAGAGAUUUUCGUGAUCUACACAGCCUGAAAACGGAUGAAGAGUUGGCAAAGUAUCUUUUGGACAGGACAUGUGGAUCGGUCUACUCCAUCAUGUGACUGGAGAACAUGAGUGGUCUCUGGAUGCUUGUCAGCAUGAUCCUUUACUAAGUGACAGAGAGAAAGACUGGAUUCAGAAAGGCUCCACUCCACACAAAGCCCUCAGUGACAUCAUUCUCAGUGAACGCUGGCUGAAAGAAGUCCCAAAAUAUUUGAAAUUAAGAUCUACAGCAAAUUUGGAGGCGUUUCACAACCAUCUCCUAAUGUAUGCAAGCAAAAGAUUCAGUUACAUCCCACCUGUUUACGAGGCACAGAUACUGCUUGCUGCAUUGGACUACAAUCACCACUCACAUCGAGAAGUGAAGAGGAGAGCAGAUGGAUCGAUACUGUAUGUAUUUAUUUAUUUAUUU